rnacentral:rRNA from 1 species
CUGGGAGGACCAUCUCCUAAGGCUAAAUACUCUCUAGUGACCGAUAGUGAACCAGUACCGUGAGGGAAAGGUGAAAAGCACCCCGGAAGGGGAGUGAAAUAGAACCUGAAACCGUGUGCUUACAAGUAGUCAGAGCCCGUUAAUGGGUGAUGGCGUGCCUUUUGUAGAAUGAACCGGCGAGUUACGAUUUGAUGCAAGGUUAAGCAGUAAAUGUGGAGCCGUAGCGAAAGCGAGUCUGAAUAGGGCGUUUAGUAUUUGGUCGUAGACCCGAAACCAGGUGAUCUACCCUUGGUCAGGUUGAAGUUCAGGUAACACUGAAUGGAGGACCGAACCGACUUACGUUGAAAAGUGAGCGGAUGAACUGAGGGUAGCGGAGAAAUUCCAAUCGAACCUGGAGAUAGCUGGUUCUCUCCGAAAUAGCUUUAGGGCUAGCCUCAAGUGAUGAUUAUUGGAGGUAGAGCACUGUUUGGACGAGGGGCCCCUCUCGGGUUACCG